UGGAUGUCUAGCCAUGCGAGUCAUUGUAGCAUACAAGGCAUACGGCUCAGUAACGCGUAGUCAACCUACCCUAUGGACGGGGAUAACCUCGGGAAACUGAGAAUAAUGCCCGAUAGAACAUUAUGCCUGGAAUGGUUUGUGUUUGAAAUGAUUUAUCGCCGUAGGAUGGGACUGCGGCCUAUCAGCUUGUUGGUGAGGUAAUGGCCCACCAAGACUAUUACAGGUACGGGCUCUGAGAGGAGAAGCCCGGAGAUGGGUACUGAGACACGGACCCAGGCCCUAUGGGGCGCAGCAGGCGAGAAACCUUUGCAAUGUGCGAAAGCACGACUAGGUUAAUCCGAGUGAUUUCUGUUGAACAAAUCUUUUGUUAGUUCUAAAACUACCAAUGAAUAAGGGGUGGGCAAGUCCGGGGGCCACCCCCCCCGUUAUAACCACCCCCUCAGUGGGUCAGGAGUAUUAUGGGGCCUAAGCCUCCCUAACCCGGCUCUGUAGUCUCUCGGUUUAAUCCUGCUGCCUUACAGAUGGGGCUGGCGGAGAUACUAGCAGACUUAGGGAGCUGGGAAAAGCAGACGGUAUCUCGUGAGGAAGUGUUAAAAUCGCUCUGAUCUAUGAUGACCACCAUGUGGCGGAAGGCGGUUCUGACAGACGACGUCGACGUGAGGGAUGAAAGCUGGGGGAGCAAACGGAUAGAUACCGGGUAGUCAGCUGUAACGUUGCCAACCUGAUGAUGCAUGACUAGGCCAUGCAUGCUGCAAGCAGGGAUUAAGGCU
rnacentral:rRNA from 1 species